rnacentral:rRNA from 1 species
AGAGUUUGAUCAUGGCUCAAAUUGAACGCUGGCGGCAUGCUUUACACAUGCAAGUCGAGCGGCAGCGCGGGGGCAACCCUGGCGGCGAGCGGCGAACGGGUGAGUAAUGCAUCGGAACGUGUCCCGUAAUGGGGGAUAACGCCGCGAAAGCGGCGCUAAUACCGCAUACGCUCUACGGAGGAAAGUGGGGGACCUGGCCUCACGUUAGGGGAGCGGCCGAUGUCCGAUUAGCUAGUUGGUGGGGUAAUGGCUUACCAAGGCUUCGAUCGGUAGCUGGUCUGAGAGGAUGAUCAGCCACACUGGGACUGAGACACGGCCCAGACUCCUACGGGAGGCAGCAGUGGGGAAUUUUGGACAAUGGGGGCAACCCUGAUCCAGCCAUGCCGCGUGCGGGAAGAAGGCCUUCGGGUUGUAAACCGCUUUUAGCCGGGAAGAAAAGUCUCUGGAUAACACCCGGAGGUUUUGACGGUACCGGCGGAAUAAGCACCGGCUAACUACGUGCCAGCAGCCGCGGUAAUACGUAGGGUGCGAGCGUUAAUCGGAAUUACUGGGCGUAAAGCGU